rnacentral:rRNA from 1 species
AACGAACGCUGGCGGCAUGCCUAACACAUGCAAGUCGAACGAGCCCUUCGGGUCUAGUGGCGCACGGGUGCGUAACGCGUGGGAACCUGCCCUUAGGCUCGGAAUAACUCCCCGAAAGGGGUGCUAAUACCGGAUAAUGUCUUCGGACCAAAGAUUUAUUGCCUUUGGAUGGGCCCGAGUUGGAUUAGCUAGUUGUUAGGGUAAAAGCCUACCACGGCGACGAUCCAUAGCUUGUCUGAGAGGCUGAUCAGCGACACUGAGACUGGGACACGGCCCAGACUCCUACGGGAGGCAGCAGUGGGGAAUAGUGGAAAAUGGGCGAAAGCCUGAUCCAGCAAUGCCGCGUGAGUGAUGAAGGCCUUAGGGUUGUAAAGCUCUUGUACCCGGGAUGAUAAUGACAGUACCGGAAGAAUAAGCCCCGGCUAACUCCGUG